UCACCGCUGCUGGCUCCGCUCUCAGCUCGCCGGUUCCGUUCCUUGCCCCGCGCCCGCCUCCCGGGCCGUGCUGGGCGGUACCGGCGGCCCCCAGAACUUCCCGGCCCGCGGGCGGCCCUGCGCAAAGAACGCCACUGGCUGCGAGGGGUUUUAUUUUGUUUAUUUGUGCUCUUCUUUCCCCUCCCUCUCCCGCUUUAGCCCGGGAACUCCCGCAGCAUUGGUUAAUCCUCGAGGAGGGAUAACUGCUGAGAUCUUCAGCCCGCUACCACGGAUGCUUCCUAGAGCUCCAGCAGCUCUGUGAGGGAUGUGCAGCUACAAGAUGUGAAGCUUUUUAUAGGACUCUUGGACAGUUUAUAGACAGCAGCUGACACCUGUAAAAUUCACCUGGAGCUAUUCAGCAGUUUUAAACACCUCGAUGCAAUUUAUCCAGAACUCUUCAUGCACAAAAAAAAUGCAAAAAUUGAUUGGAGUGGCCAAGGAAUUCUUCUGUCCUGUCUUUAAAAACAGCUCUUCACUGUUUGGUGCUGGACCUCGUGCUCUGGCUGCCCUGGCCAGUGGGAUUUGCUGCUCAGGGAAUUCCUCGUGGAUUUUGGAUCCUGACACAAACCAGAGGAGCUGUGGAGUGCUUGGACAGAGGAGAUCCCAGCUUAGAAGGAGCAAUGCUUCAAUCAAAAGUUGAAAUUUCUGUAUUUGGUCAUUUAAGAGGGCUCUGGAUGUGCCCCCUGAGUGUCCUGAGCACAAGGUGGGACCCAGGACCCCCAGCCCAGGAACCCAAAACCCACCUGGGACCCAGCAAGGGGAGCAGAAGGGACCUUCUGGCCCUCUGAGACUCCCUGCAAGGAGGGUCUGGGAGGGGUUUGGUCUCUUCUCUGGGUGCUCAGAGGUGGGGGAGCCCCUUUUUUGGGAGCACCUGCAGGUUCAUGCCCCAGGUGAUGUGGGAAGCUUGAUGUGAGUGUCUGAGAGCAUGAAAAGUCUCUUUAAUUUGGAUUUAACUUGAAUAGUGAGACCUCGUGUGUGCUCCCAUGGCUGGCUCUGAAGAAAGCAGCCCGUGUGUGAACAAUAAUGUGCUACAUUUUAGCUAAAUUCUCUAAAUUAUUCUUUUUAAGGCUGAUGCGGACUGCUGGAAAGCCCAGGGAGGGUUUUGAGGUGCCUGGAUCUGUCUGGCACAGCAAGCUCUCCCAAAACAGGGUAAAACUUCCCUGUGUACUUAAAAAUUGCCAAAAUCCAGAGGUUCAAUGUGAAUUAAUGCAUAAAAAAGUAAGGGAAGCAGGGAAAUUGGGAAGCAAAUUGCUGCUACUUUUUUCCUCUUAAACGCUUUAAAGAAGAAAAAGGGAGGAAUUCCUUGCCAGGGCUGCUUUGUGGGAUGCUGUGCCUGGAGCAGAGCUGUGGGGAGAGCAUCCCGUGGCUCUGUCCCAGCCCUGCCCACAAAUCCAGAGUGGGAUCUGCAUUUACAGCUGGAACCCCUCAGGGAUGAGCACUUAGGGCUGUAAUUCCAAGGUGAUGAGACCAAAGUCAAGAAAAGUUUUUUCUGGGCUUUGUAAGAAACCCAAAAGUGCCCUUUGUGGGUGUCUUCUGGCAGGGCCCAGGCGUGCAGAGACCCCACAACUCUGACAGCAGCUGGGGCACCCCAGCCCUGGCUGAGCUCUGAGCAAACCCUGCUGCAGAUCCUGUGGGAAAGAGAGGAAAAGGAGCUCAAUUCACUCAGGAAUUGCAACUGCAGAGCAAAAUACAUCACCGUGCUGAGAUGAAACGAGUUGAUACAGAAAUCAACUGUAUUGGCUUAAAGUAGCAUUAGAAAUGCCUUCAAAUUCAAGAUAAGGUUCUCCUGAAGUUCCUAAAGUUGGGUAAAUAUAAAAGUGCAAUUAUUAGAGCUGCUGGUGGGGAGAAGCCACGUCCUGAAAUCCUGGAGCUCUCCUGUGUCCUCGGCCACCGCUGCUGUGGGGUCAGGAGCAUCAGCCUGGAGGGAGCAGCCCUGGUUAUUCCUCCUCUAAGGUGAGAUUUAAAAUUCCUGCAGUGUUUAAAAAUGGAAUUGUGGGCAUUAAUGUGGGAGCCACGCCGUGAAAAAGGUGCACGACCAGUGUGGGGGGAAAUUCUGGGUUUAUGUUGCUGAAAAGGUGCUGGAGGUAAGGAAGAGGAUAUUCCUUUUCUGUGGGAUUGGAAGCAGGCACUGGCAGAGGCUUUUUCACCAUUUCAAAUACGUGCUGAUGGCAACUUCUUAUAAUUGUCCGAU